rnacentral:rRNA from 1 species
AACGAACGCUGGCGGCAUGCCUAACACAUGCAAGUCGAACGAGACCUUCGGGUCUAGUGGCGCACGGGUGCGUAACGCGUGGGAACCUGCCCUUAGGUUCGGAAUAACUCUCCGAAAGGGGUGCUAAUACCGGAUAAUGUCUUCGGACCAAAGAUUUAUCGCCUUUGGAUGGGCCCGCGUUGGAUUAGCUAGUUGGUAGGGUAAAAGCCUACCAAGGCGACGAUCCAUAGCUGGUCUGAGAGGAUGAUCAGCCACACUGGGACUAAGACACGGCCCAGACUCCUACGGGAGGCAGCAGUGGGGAAUAUUGGACAAUGGGCGAAAGCCUGAUCCAGCAAUGCCGCGUGAGUGAUGAAGGCCUUAGAGUUGUAAAGCUCUUUUACCCGGGAUGAUAAUGACAGUACCGGGAGAAUAAGCACCGGCUAACUCCGUG